UCCCUCUUAGCUCAGUUGGUAGAGCGCGUCACUAGUAUGCGUACGGGAAUGUAUGUCCAUGUAAUGACGAGGUCAGUCGUUCAAAUCGGCUAGCGGGAA